UCCUACGGGAGGCAGCAGUAGGGAAUCUUCCACAAUGGGCGAAAGCCUGAUGGAGCAACGCCGCGUGAAGGAAGAAGGAAUUCGUUCUGUAAACUUCUGUUAUAAAGGAAGAAAGACGGAUGGAGGAAAUGACAUCCGAGUGACGGUACUUUAUGAGAAAGCCACGGCUAACUACGUGCCAGCAGCCGCGGUAAUACGUAGGUGGCAAGCGUUAUCCGGAAUUAUUGGGCGUAAAGAGGGAGCAGGCGGCAGCAAAGGUCUGUGGUGAAAGACUGAAGCUUAACUUCAGUAAGCCAUAGAAACCG
rnacentral:rRNA from 1 species